rnacentral:lncRNA from 1 species
UGAGAGUCUUUUCUUUAGUCGGGUAAGUCUUGCUGAGUAAUUCCAUACUCAGGGUUUUAUUCCCUGUUGUUUUUCAGGUUAUAGUUUUGUGCUGCUGUGAUGGUGUUAAGUGCCGGUGGGCUCGGCCUUCUUAUAUAAGUAUACCCCGUCUUUACCUUCUUAUUGAGGAUGGUCACUUGAGCUAGCAUAUAUUUCAAACUUAUAAAUAAUUUAUAACAGUUUAAAGUUAUUUCUUUGAAUCAUCUUUGUAAUCACUUCGAUCAUACAAAGUAAAAUUUUUGUAACUUGUAAAAUUUGGUAAUAAGAUUUCCGCUGCAAAGAUGUUGAUGUGUGUGAUUUGUGUUUACUUAAUCCCGCGGUUCUGGUUGUAAGUGGUUUAUCCGAUGUCCUUGGGGCAAUCGGACAGAUCCUGUUAAGUUAUUUAGUGCACAUGCAUAGCUGUCUGAGGUCUUUGAGACAAGGACAGGUGCAUGUGGGCCCAAUAACUUGGGAGGUUCUGCCACAGCUGGUAUCGGAGCUGGAUUAAGUAUAUACGGUCACAUACGAAUUUUCAAAACAAAAGUUUUGGUUUUGAAAAACUUAUUUUCAACUAAACACAUUGUUUGGCUUUGAAAAACAGUUUUGAAAAACUAUAAUACUAGCGACAUCCUCUGUUAAGCCCUAAAUUUAAGGACUAUCAGGUGGCUUAGUUAAAACCACUAACCCAGAACCGGGUGGGUAUUGCAUACAUGUGUACUGUUAUUUUGAAAGUCAUUUAGUCUUGAAUGGAUCGACGCUUAAGGUAAGGUGAGAUGUGAGAGCAUGACCGAACAAACGUCGGUCUAGGGAAGUGCUUAACUGUGGCGCUUGACUAUAUACAUGUUCUACAUAUGUAUAUACGAAAGCUGCGAUGUGGAGUAUUUACUUUACUGGGAUUCAGUACCCCAUGGAUUUGUAUGGGUAUACAGACAUGGGAAUACUGAGAAGUGUAAUGUACUUGUAACGACGCACCUACGCUCAGGUAAGAAGGUGAGUUACCAUAAUGAGUUGCCCUAUGGUUAAAGUGUGGCAACGGCGCCUAUGCGUGGCUCGGUGCUUAAUGAUGAGUUGGCCUCCAUAUAGCAAUAUAUGGAGUAUAAACUGUGGUAAACUGUCAUGUGUGAAUUGCAUCAUUGGGAAAUUGGGGUGUGAUGAAAUUUUUUGCAGGUACACUAACCUCGAAAACGUAUGUGUAGCUGACGACUAGCAAAAUACCGUGAGAGUCGUAAGUAUGCCACCGAGAUAGAACGCUAUUGCCAUAUUAUGUUGGCAAAAUCAGUGAAGACGCAUAGGACGAGCAUGCAUCCUGAUUGUUGCAUCAUGUUUGUCACCUAUACACCCAAAAUGCUUCUCUCAUCCUUAUUCCAGAAACCAAUGAUUGUAGAUAAUCUGGUGUAAUGUUGAAUUAUGAACUUCAAAAAAAAUAGCUGCCCUCCGUUCUUUAGGUAAUAUAUUUAGGUGUUAUACGUGUUUGCUCUUGUACUUGAUGUGCCGAUAGAAUAUUGGUGACUUGUUUGUUUAAACCGAAAACUAGGCCAUGUUCUUAGUUGGUGAACCAUGACUCAACGUUGAUUUGUCCGUUAUCACUCCAUGACCAAACACAUACAAAUAAAUGCUUAGAAAAUUUCUUUGUCGGACCUAAAGUGUACCCGGACUUAAAACAAGGAUAUCGAGUCAUGUUUCCUUCCAAAACCAUUCUCUUGUUCGAUUUGUGCAAACUGAUGUCUCUAUUCUACUUUUGUAUCUUCUUGGGGAUCAUGUCGAUAUUUUAUCAACUUAACCCAAGAAAGACAUGUCCGAUCAUUUUCUUAAGUUUGAUGCCUUUGGUUUCUUCAUAUCUCUCGAAGGCAUACCAACUUAAUUUGAUGAUUGUUUUCCCUUCGUAUCUAGUCAGAUACUAAUCCUUGACCUUGUAAUCCCUAUGAUGGGCAUAGAAAUAUGUUUGGGGCUGAAUUAACAGUCUUCCGUCAUACUCCUUUCAUCAAGUUUAGGUUAUGGCCAUGCCUUGUUCGUUUCAUCGGGCCAUGAUCUAUUUGGCUCUCUACUUGUAACCGUUUUGACAGGUAGAGUCUUUUUGUAUAUUGUCAUCCUGGCUCAGUCUAUUGUGUCGCGUGAGAUUUCUUAUUGGUUAUGUCUGGUAAUGGUGUUAUGACUAAAACUGAUGGUGCCGUGACGAAACCGAGGGCCUUCUGUGGGUGCGCACACAUGGUUGUGCUACUCGGCACGCGCUGGUAUCAUAGUUAGUAGUUGUAAUCCAUUAUGAGACUAUGUCAAUGCGUUAUCUUGGCACAAUAUGUUUUUUUGCUAUGUGAGAUUGUUAUUGGUGCCAGUUCGGUAAUGGUGUCAUGGUUAAUGACUUAUGGUGCCGCAGCGAAACUGAGAGCCUCCUGUGAAUGCGCACACAGGACUGUGCUACUCGUCAGAUGCUGGUAUCAAGGUCUCUGGUCAUGAUCCAUUGUGGAACUACACUGAUGUGUUAUCUUCCAUAAACUACUUCCUUGAAACAAUUUCUAUGUUGUUUGUCAAGUGAUCAAGCAACAUCUAUCAUCUCGGUUGGAUCAAACAGGCAUACCAAUUUCAUGGGUGGUCUCUUUCCUUUUGAUCUUGAUAGUGACUACUCAUACAAGUUCCCUUUACAUCCUUUGUGUAAAGGUGAAGCCUUGGAGCUUUUUAGUGUUGAGAGACAACUGAUUAGCUCUCAAAAUGGAGAUCUGUUUUCCCUGCUGCUGAGAUGCAGGAGUUUGUUCAUUCGCUCUCUUAUUAAUCCAAGUAUUCCCUAACCAAAUGGAUUUCUACCCAAGUGCAUGAUCACCUGGUGACCUGAGUGAACUCUCAACCCUUGGCUUACCGAUGGUACUGAGAGGACCUGCUCAAUGUCAAAAGUAGUUCAACAAGUUGAUUUUACUAACUUGUAACUGCAUUGUGAACAAAGGUUGAGUUUAGAGAUCGUUUUAUCGAGUUGUCUAAACUCACUUUUGUACAACCCCUCUUAAGGAAGUACUUUCAAGAAUCGAGAUUAAGUCGGUCAGAAACCACCUAAUCAUCACCCUAGUAGUGCCUCGAUUGCCUCACGUGUGCUUUUCCAGCAUGUGUGAUCAAGUCAAGUCAUGCCUAGUGCUCGAUAAAAUGGACUGGUUGCAAAGUCCGCAUCUACAGAUCCCUCCGCUGGUGAUUUUCUCAAAUUUAUAUCACCUUUCGUGGACUUGAAUUCUAUGGUUAGCCAUAUGUUAACCGCGAUAGUAUUCGACAUCCACAGCCGUCUCAUGUGCUAUAAACUUACCAUGACCACUUGUUGGUAAACCUCCUUCUGUGUGUUUUACCCAAGAUGGUGUAUCUGAUUCUGUUUGGGUAAAGUCGCAUAUCUACCGCUCGCCCAACAGACUCAGAUAGUACAGUGUCAUAAGAAAAAGCAAACUGCACACAUGGAACCUUAUCUGUUCCUCUGACAGGCAUCAUCUCUAUUGAUGGACAUCUUUAAAUUAGCUUGUGGCGAUACAUGCUAUGUCCACUAGAGAAACCAUAUCCAGAGACAUUCGCCUUUACUUGGAUUGUCUUAUGAUUAACGCUGAUAUGGACAUGGGUUACAUGCUUCUCUACUCUUAGAAGUCUUUCGCUCCGAAUCUCGGGACGAGAUUCUUUUAAGGGGGAGGGCUGUAACACCCCAGGUGUUUAUAUUCCGCUCGACAACGAAUACGAAUUUAAGCACGUGAUAUCAGUGAAUAAGACGAACACUAAGGUCUAAUUAUUUUCGCUUAUCACGAUUUUAAUAUCGCAUCUGUUCCGUUUAUCGUGAGUGCGACAUCAUUUUUACUUCUACUUAUUCGGGCUCUUCCAAAAUCUUAAUUUUUAGAACCAUGGUACUUUGGCAGGCGUUUUUACAUGACAGAAAAUAACGAAAAUGGGACUGAAAAUAUCCUCUCUCUCUCUCUAUACCGCUAUUCUCUCCCUUCUCUAAUUUUUCCAGCCAUCCUUAUCCCCUACGCGUCAUCGUUCUCACCCUUCCUCUGAUUUUUCGUAGCCGCCGCCGUUUCCCUCGCUCUCAUCCGCUCGGCCACCCUGGGUAAAAAUCCUGUCGCCGGUGCUUAUCCCCGCAGCCGCCCUCGCCGGAUUUUUCUCAGCCGAGCUCGUCUUCUACGCGCCGUCCCUGGGAGUCUUCAAAUAUCAGCGCUCGGCCUCAAUUCCAUUCAAUGGAGCACACCGCAAUCUUCCCAGCCGCUCCAGAUCGUGCCCCUCUUCUUCAACCUCGCCGGGCUGCAUCUUCCUCAUGACCCUGCUCCACUGUGUCCCUCCCAGGCGUUCGGCAGCUCGGUCGCUUGCUCCUCUCCGCCGCUCGCCGGUUCCCUUUCCCCAAGCUCGUGUUCCUCUGCUCCUCUUCCCCUACCGCGCAGCUCCCUGGCUCGCGGAGUUCCCCUGCGCGCUGUGGUCUUCCCCGCUCCAAGCUCCCAUGGCGCCCAGCUCGCCCAGCUCCGAUGAUGCCCAACUCCCAGCUUUCCCCCUCAGUUCGCUCUUCCCUGGCCACGCGAGCUCAGAGCCCUCCCUGCUCCCGAUCUCCAUAGCCGCGCCCCUCAAGCUCGGCAGGGAGCUUUCUUCCUCCCUCGUCCGCGGCUCUCUCCUGGCGCCUGGGGCCGCGCGAGCAGCCCUCCGCUCGGCUCUGCUCCUCCCUGCUCGCGUCAACCAGCUCGGACCGAGCGCUCUGACGUUCGCUUGCCGUAGUGCUUCUUCCCCAGCGCGUCCUCUGCCGCCCGCCAAGGUGGUGGCGCCCAUCUCCCUGGCCCUGGCUCGGAUCCCGCUCGGCGCCCUGACUCCUGCUCCCCGCGCCGCAUCGUCCCUGCCCAUUUCCCUCCUCGGCAAACUCCCCUGCGAGCUCCAGCUCGGUUUCUUCUCCCUUGCCGCUCGGUUCUUGCGUCUUUCCCCUGUGCGCUCGACCUCCGGCUCCGGCGUCGAGCUCUGCUUUGGUGUAUUGGGAGGUUCAAGUGGCGCUGAUGGGUUCUCUGCUGUCACACCUGGUGGUGGUACCUUGCUGCUAGGAGGUAGCGACAGCUUUGGCAACAGUAACGUUGGUGCUCGCCAAGCGCUCAACAAACGACCUGAAACCAAAGUUCGUCGUCAUCGUUCUCGCUGAUAUCGAGACGAAUUGUGAUGUGGUAAGCCAAUUCGUUACUUCCGCUAUUGGUCGGAUGGAUUUGGUUAGACACGUUAGUUACGUCGUUUCUCUUGUCGGUAGCACUGGCGCAUUGUGGUGGUGUUAGAUGUUUGUGAAAAUAACUCUUCGCUUGUGGCAUCGUAUUUGUUUCGCUAGUAAAGUUUAGGUUUCGGGUCUCGAACGUUUAGUUGAUAGGUUGUUGGUGCUGCUUUUGAUGAAAGGUUUUUAUAUGAUGGGAUCAGUGUCCUGCGUUAGUUGUUAUUAUAAUCCAUGUUCGUUGAUUGGUAAACGUCGAAGUUGGACAUUGAUCGUUCAGAGUAAUAGUCUCAAAUAAAUGUUUAUCGUUAUCCUGUUUAUCGUGGUCCAAAUUAUUUGGAGGUAAGCAACAUCGUUUGGUCCGCUUCAUUUAAAAUAUGAAAGCUACUUAAUGGAUAUUUUCUAUUAGUGUUUUAAGUCUUUAGGAUUUAAGUUGUGAUCGUAUAAAGGUCUAUAGUCCUUGAUAAUGCUCUACCUACAAGACUAUAGAAUAGUGUAAUGUUCAUAUAAUUAGCGUAUUGUGCACAUUAGUCCAGAUGAGAAUUUACAAAGGUAGUUACUGUGCCUAUAUCUUUGUUUUGCACUUAGAUGUCUAAAACUAAUAAGUCUAAGUUUGUUAGUCUUAGGGUGUUGAGCUUUAACUAAGGAGGGUAGAGCGUGUGUAUAGUUUAUCGGUUCUGUGAUGUGGCAGCUAGAUCUAAUUAGACUGGAAGAACGCGAUCGUUGUACUUAGUAAUAUCCCGGCAUCUGGUAAUUGCUUUUAAAUGUUAUUUGUGCCUCGUCACUAGGUAUUCGAUUCAUUAUCGUGUAGCCAAAAUUAGGCUAAUUAUGUUUAAAGUAUAUGAUUUGUUGUUUGUGAUGUUUUUGUUAGGUUCGUUUAAUUUAGAGAAGCGUAAUUAUUACGCGUAGUCGCAAUGCCUCGCCGCUAGGUGUUCCGCUAUCGCGUAACACUAUUUAGAUUUAUAAUAUUUCCGUCGAUAUGCAUUCAUGUGCAUAAUGCAUUUCAUUCAGGUACGUUAAUUAAUCGCGCGAUGCGGAAGACGAUCCAAGUCGACCCCAAGCGUGGGCUAAUCCGCAAGAUGAAGCUGAUGGACCAACCUGAAGAUGGUUAAAUCAAUCAAGUGCUCGGUCGAGGGAUACUCGUCAAGUGCUCAUCGCCUAACAAACACUAACCUAGUGUUACCCAGGCAAGCCCCGAUGCAUGCAACCCCUUCCUUGUGUUUUUAAAUAAUUUUUGCACACUUUAAGUCUAGUGAAAUGUGCAUUAGGUUUAUAGGAGUUGCUUGGAACCCUUUGAUGCAUUGUCUUCCUUGAUAUCCAUACCUUUAUAGAUACUUCUGGUGAAGUAUCAAAAUCUGAUUUACAAAAAUGCUUAGCCCUGCUCAGAUAUUGUGGAUAGAGGUUGUCUUUUGCAUUAAGGCCUAGCUCAGGGGUUAUCCUGAGGAAAGAUGGCUUCUACCUGCAAGAAUAUUUUCAUUGAGAGCGUGGUGGGAUCUUACUGCAAAGUUCCCUUUGAUGCUCUUUUCAUCCUAGGAACAUAAACAAUCCUAAGGAUGGAAGUACUUAAAUCGGGACUUGGGCUUGGAACAGGUGAUGUUCUACCCAGGUUAGUUAAGGAUUGGAUGCGUAUGUAGGCCUGUUGAUCAAGGACUAUCUUAACUAGCCACAUGCCCUGGAAAUGGGACAGGGUAAGCUUGAACCCGGCUAUUCCAUACAUGAAAAGACAAUCGCGCACUGGGAGUGGAGAGAUGGCGAGAGUGGCACGUACCCUCCUGGCAAAGGACCGCCUAAAAGGGGUGGUGUGCUCUCGGGUGGCGCGGACCUGUUCAUGCAGUGGAGGAUCCGUGGGAAUGGUAGACAUGCAAGGUUUACGAGAAACAUAUGUCGUGUGGUUAGAGAUCCUCAGCUGAGUAAAUCGAUUCGGAUCGCCGUUAUAUCCCCGGAGAGUGGAGACUUGAUCUCCGACCUACAACCUAAGUCAGGAUGUGAACCUCAUGAAUAAAAAUGAUGUUGUAUUGAUGAAAUGGUGAAAUUAGACCAGAUGCAAAUAGAGUCUAUUAAUAUUUAAUCUGGCGUUAAAAUAUUGAAAGUAAGGACUCACUUUAGUAAGCUAUUUCUGCAAAAGUAUCUAAGUUGAUUCUUGCUAAGAGCCUCUCCUUGAUUCCUAAAUCCAGCAUACCCUUGAGAGUCUUUUCUUUAGUCGGGUAAGUCUUGCUGAGUAAUUCCAUACUCAGGGUUUUAUUUCCUGUUGUUUUUCAGGUUAUAGUUUUGUGCUGCUGUGAUGGUGUUAAGUGCCGGUGGGCUCGACCUUCUUAUAUAAGUAUACCCCGUCUUUACCUUCUUAUUGAGGAUGGUCACUUGAGCUAGCAUAUAUUUCAAACUUAUAAAUAAUUUAUAACAGUUUAAAGUUAUUUCUUUGAAUCACCUUUGUAAUCAC